rnacentral:lncRNA from 1 species
UGGAAGCUCUGCUGCAAAGGACUGGUCGUCGACACCAUAGUCGUACUGGGGGUUGCCGACAGUCUCAGGGUCUAUCGAGAGAGAAGGAGGGGGAAAGAAACAGUAAAUACACAGCAACCAAGGCAACACAAAGCAUAGCAUGGCAAUAAGCAGUGCCGGGUGUGUCCUAACAUACGGUUACACGAUACCGAGGAAGGGGGAAUCCAUCCGGGGAAGUUUUCCCGGUUCCGGACAAAUGUCAAACAGGUGCCCGGAGGGGGAAUGUCCCAUGUUCAGGUAUUUAGAGGCGUCACACGGAUAUGUGGUUACGUAUUCGGGUUCGUCUCGUCGUUCUGAGCAACUUUGAUAUAUAAAGUUUGUUCAUCAGAGUUACAGUUUACUUUAUAUUGAUUUUUAAUGCUUUAAAUCAUUUCCCAGAAUUAAUAAAAUGAAUUUAAUUAGAAAUUGCAAUUAGGACGUCAGCAUGAUGUCAUCAUGAAGUCAUCAGGGCCAAAGGUUGACUGGGUCAACCCUGGCAGGUGGGAUCCGUUCGUCAUAGAUUCAGAUUAACUAAACAGAGUUAAUUAGUUUUACCAAAUGAUUAGGUUAAUUAAACUGAAUUAAUUAAUGUAAUUAAUUAGUUAAUUUUUUAUUUACUAUUUAUUAUACAUUAUUAUUAUUUAUUUAUUUUGAAACAGAGUUAUUUACUGAUUCAAACAGGUUUAACUAGAGGUGGUCCCAUGUGUCAUUGAGUGAUUAUUUAGCAAACUUUUAAUUAAAAGAGGGCCCACAUGUUAGUGGGUCAACCCUCUGUUAAACAUGUGUGGGUGCGUCCGUGCCCGCUUGCGAGCACAGAGGACGACGGCGUUCACGUGGGCGGCGGCUCCGGCGAUCGAAUGGCCGGCCUCGAGCGUCUUCGGGGCGAGGCGACGACGCGGAGAGGAGAGACGGUAGUGGGUGCGGGCAUGCGUUCGCGUGCCCGUGGGGGCGGACCCAAGCGGUUCAGACGGCAAGCGAGGCCGCGGCAAGGGGCGCCGACGCGCCUAACCGGAACCGCGGCGAGGGACACGGGCGCGCGGCUGGUACCGGCGUCCGGACGGCGCGGGGGCGUGAGCAAGGUGCGGGCACGGGUAGGGGCUGGCUCGGCGGCGCCCAAGGCAGAGGCGAGGCCAGUCCGGGGGGAAGGAGAUGCGGACGAACUAGAGGGGGAGGGAAAGGGGAUCCUCACCCCCGAUGCAGGGGUUCGCCGGCGAGGCUCGACGGAGUCCGGCGAGGUGGCAGUCGAACGGCGGCGGGGAGCGGGGCAAAGAGGGGAGACGUGGUCGAUCCGGCGAGGUAGGGGUCCCGGGCUUGAUCUCAUGGGCGAAGACGUUGAAGAGGAGGUUGGCGCAACUGAUGGGCAUGUAGGUGCGGCGAAUGGAGGCCGGUGGCCGCGCUGGUUCGCGACAGCGAGCGGUGGCCAUGGGGAUCGGGCGAUGAGCCCCUCCUGUGCGUGUGUGGUGGCGGCGGUGUGGGGGAACGAGGGAGUAGCGAGGGGAGGAAGUGGG